rnacentral:lncRNA from 1 species
UAUGUCCAAGAGUAUAUAUAUAUGAGAAUCGAUUCAAAAUGGAACUGGAAUAAUCCCCAUUCAGAGUUCUACACUAAAAGUUUGAAAGAGCAUCUUGGGCAAUAUUUCGAGCAGCUUAAUGUGCCACAAGAGCUUUCGGUGGAGGACAAGCUCGCUAAAUUGUUGGAAUUAACUGACUUAUACAUUGAAAUAACAAAUGAAGGAUUUCAAAUUCAAGCAGUAAACCGUGGGAAAAGCUAUGAUGAUCAAGAGGUUGGUGCAGGAACUGAGGAGCCAUCUGUCUGUUAUUCACGUCCAAAGGAGGAAACAGCCCAUGAUGACCUUGAAAAUUCCAUAGAAUCUGCUCCUUCAAAAGUCUGUGUGCCACUCAUGCACUAUCCCGAGACUCCAAGGCGACCCGCUAAGCAGCAAGAAUGCAUGAAUACUCUGACAAAUCUAAAUAUAGGACAGCUGCUUACUGAUUAGAAAAUUUUAGCGGCGGUAACGGACAGUGCACCUGCACAGCCCAUCAAAUUCAAAGAAAUGCCAGAUGAGUCCUGCAAACAGGCAAAGAUCCACAAGGAAACAAAGAAAAAGCUUAAUGGCAACCUAAUUCUUCGUCAAGAAAUUCGGCCAAUGCAGAAAUUGUGGGUGUCAAAUACAAGGUUUAAGUCAGUUCGACGAAGACGUAAACAUUGCUGGAAGGGAUCCUAUUUUAUUACAACAUUUCAUUCAUAUAGAAGGGCUAAUAUGAAGGAUUCAACCACUUCCCUGAAACACAUAAUUGACAAACAUCAUCUCAUUCCGUACCUACUGUUGUUGUAUGAUGCUAUCAAGGAGUGGUUGAUUAUAAGAGAACAAGUGACGUGAUUAUCAAUUCAUUCCUCUACGUCUAGCUAUAGACAUUAACUACAGCGCUUAUUGGGAGGCAACCCAAUUUUUCUAAACUCUUUUCUUUUUAUUUUCGUUCAUUUUAUUUUCUUCCUUCUAGUCUUUAUCACAAAAAAAAAACAAAAACAAAACAAAAAAAUCAGAAAAUUGAAAAACACAAAAACAGCAAUUGUUUUUCGUUAAUCAGUAUUUUAUUUUGGGAUUUACUCGAAUUAGAUUUUUAAUCUGUGUUUUUUUUUUUUUUUUUUUUUUUUUGCAGGUUGCAUUUGGACUCGAAGGGCCCUAAAUAUCCAUUAAGCGCGCAAAAUUCAACUGAAUCAUGCUUUUAGCAGCAUUUGGGGUCAUCACUGGUGGCGAAUAAAAUUGUUACCUCUGCAUGACUCGGGUCCGCGAUGUCCUCAAUGUUUGUUUUGUCCUUGCUAUUGUUCAGCUCCAGCUCGAUAACCUUUGCACCCUAACGAGAUGUACAGAUUUUACACAUGCGGUGAAGUUAUAUGAGACAUGCAGUAAGAGAUCAGUUAUGGAGGGUUGUGAGUUUACCUUUUUGUGUUUCGGAUCUGAGCUAAUCGAGUGUUGUUUUUCCUUUUGCCCAUUAUGACUUCUGCGGAUCCGACAUCCCUUACACAAAUCAGCCAAGCCUCUGUUAGUUUGUUUCUUUUCUGUAUCAAAAAAAAAAAUCAUCAGAUGGAUUACACCAGGUUAGGGGUGAUGUUUACCUCUGUGGGACGAUUGGAGCUGAAAUGUGUCUACAUUUCCAUGACCGCAAUUGUUUUGGGUUGUGCAGAAAAGAGAGAGGGCUGAAAAAUAAAAUGGAAGGUUUGCAGGAAGAGGGAUGCCGAAUUGAGAAGGAUUAAAAGCCUUUUUAGCUUUUCUAGAGAGAGCAGAGAUAUGGGGUCUGAGAGAAAAGAGAGAGGGAGUAGAGAUGAAAUGGGGAAAUGAGAGAAGUCAAUAGAGAGAUUAAAAACCUUUUCAGAUUUUCUAGGGAGAGGACGAUGGGCAUAUGGGGUUGAUAUUAACCCUUGAUUCGAAUCCUAUGGAGCUUCUCUUUCCGAUGCAUGACAACUGGGCGCAUCCUCCUCUUUUAGGCUCCCUAGGACACGGUUUGAAGAGAGGGGAGAGAGCCGUUUGGGCUCUGUGUUUGAUAUUGACAGAGACAUCAACCUGACGCCAGCUGCACGCCACUUUGACACGGCAUGCCAAUUGCAUGCCUUUCAAAGAAGCAUCCAAUGUUUUCCUGUGUGUGUGCACGGGUUUUGGUGCACAUGUGCUGUAAACAUGGACUUGGUGUGCGAGUUGGGAUCAUGCCCCAAGGCUAUUCAAUCACUCACAUCACAGCCAUGUGGAAUCAUUUUUUCCAAGCACACAGUUUAUCAUUAGUCACGGCUCCAUGACCUUCCAAAUAAAACACCAGGUGCAUGUUUUCCUUUCUUUACUUUUGUUUCUUUUGUUACUUUUCCUUGGCUUUUCUUUAGUUUUUAUUAUUUUAUUAUAUUUUAUAUUUUUUUUAAUUUUUUAAUUUUUUUUUUUUUAGUUGUUAUGUUUAGUCAGGUUUCGUUUUUGUUGUUUUUUUUAUUUGCAUUUAUUUUCCACACCUUGAGGACAAAGUGUGAAAUAAGUUUGGGGGUGGGAGAGUAAAUUUUAGUUUUUAUUUUUUUAUUGUGUCAGUUUAAAAAUUUUCAUUCUUGUAAGUUAAUAUACAUAUAUUAUUUUAAACGUUAGAACAAAUGGACAUGGUGAAGAUUAAUCCCACAUUAGAGUCUUUACUAUUUAUCGUUACUUAGACACUAAUUCAUGAAUUAUACUUUGAACUUUGCACAUCACACCAACAUGGUUUGUGGGGAGUGAGAUUGAAACGCUUGCUUUUAGUCUAAGUUUAUUUUUAAUUUUUAAUUUUUGUUUUAAGUAAAGUCAGUUAUUAGUGUGAAAAAAAAAGUAAUAAUUGUCUCACCCGAGGUUUUGCCUAGUAACCGGGCCAGUCCUGCCUAAUCAGCAGUGAUUCUCGCGUCAAACGGUAGAGUUUUGGCAUGGGGCAGGGUGGUUAGUUGGUUUCGUAGCCUUUUCAGCUUGAGUUAAUAAGUCUUUAGGGGUGUUCUACACCUAGUGCCCUAAAGCCCUAGUGGUUUGGGAGUCAUUGACCUAAAGCUCGCUACAUGGGUUGGAUCGAAAGCUUAAGUAAACCGACAUUGCACGACCACUACUGUUACUGAAAAAAAAAAAAUAUGUUAUAUGAAAAAAAAAAAAAGGGAAAAAUAUUGGAAAAGAAAAAGAAAAAUAUAUAUGUGAAGUUAGUAUGUGUGGAGUAUGAAUAAAGAUGACAAGAGGUAAGAGUUUUAGUUGAGUCUCUUUAACUAUGUUGGUUCACUUUAUACCAGAGGAAGUUUGUGAAUUCUUUUCUAAUUGAUUCUAAAUGGCUUAGACUCUGUGGUGGGAUUGGUUGGAACUUUUGAAAAAAUGUUCUAGUUUUAAAAUUUACUAUGGAUUGCAACUUUGAAGGUGAAAAUUUUUGUCAGUUAAUUUUAGCUAGUUGUUUAGUUUGUUAAGUUUUUAUUUUUGUUUGAGUCUUAUUUUGCUUGAGGACAAGCAAAAAGCUAAGUUUGGGGGUAUUUGAUGAGUAGAUUUUAUAUUAUAUAUUUUACCCUAAUCUUAGUAUAUUUUGGUUAAUAUAUUGGAAGAAUUUUGAUACUUUGAAUUGUAUUUUCAAUAUAGGACUUUCGACUUCCUCUGGAGAAAAACAGGACCAAAUGGACGAAUUUUGGAGUAAUUCUAGUUGGAGGACGUUCGUGAGUCACUUAGCUUAAUCGUAUCAAAAUUUGGGAUUUUUCCACCAAGCGGUUAUUUUCUGGCGAUGAAAUAAAGAAGCAGUGCGCAGUGCUGGAAAAUGACGUUUUUGGGCUUAAAUUGCGUUUUUGGAGCCCAAGAUGACCUCGGAUGGGUUCGUGGCCUUCUGGAGAAGUGUUCAGAAUAUUCCAAACAUUAAAUCCAGCUAUAUUGGGCCAGUUUUGGAGCAGCUUAUGGGCCAAAACGGGGCUGUUCAAAUUUUAGACGAAUUUUACUAUUUUUAUUUAGGUUUUUUUUAUUAAUUUUAGUUUGCUAGGGUUUGUGUGGUGGCUUAGCAAAUAUAUUGCUUGGCCGUCUACAGUUUUAGAGUACGCUUUAUUUUAUGCAAUAUUGGAGACAGAGAGAAGUGCUAGGGUUUUGAAGAUUUUCUACUUGAAGGUGUUUUCAAUCCUUUUCUUAAUAGAUAUUUCUAUGAUUUCAAUUAUGAAUAUGCGGAACUAAUUUCUUUUGCUAGGGCGAAGCCUUGAGCCUUAGCAUGAAUAUGUGAUUUUUAUUUAAUUACUUAUGAUCGAUUGCAUGCGUACUUUGAAUUGUUAAUCACCAGGAUAAAAACUAUCUAAUUGUCGUAAUGCUUGAUCACCAUUAGGAUCUUUAGAAAAGUAAUUUGAUGCAAUUUUGGUCGGAAGGUUCCCUGAAAUUGACCCUGAAAUUGACGCUGGCUCACUGACCUUUUCAAUAGGAUUUUGAAAACGAAGAAGAUGCCAAAUAAGUGGCGAAAGAGCACUUUGGUGCCUAUCUACAAGAAUAAGGGCGACGUACAAAAUUGCAUGAACUAUAAGGGUAUUAAGCUAAUGAGUCAUACAAUGAAGCUCUGGGAGAGAGUCAUUGAGCAUAGAUUGAGGCAAGAGACACGGGUUUCGGACAACCAAUUCGGGUUCAUGCCAGGGCGCUCAACCAUGGAGGCAAUCUAUCUCUUACGAAGAUUGAUGGAAAGAUAUAGAGAUGGGAAAAAGGAUUUACACAUGGUCUUUAUAGAUUUGAAAAAAGCGUAUGAUAGGGUCCCAAGAGACAUUCUUUGGAGGAUUUUAGAGAAGAAAGGAGUACGAGUAGCAUAUAUCCAAGCUAUAAAGGAUAUGUAUGAAGGAGCAAAGACUGCCGUAAGAACUCAUGAAGGACAAACCGAAAGCUUCCCUAUAACUAUAGGAUUACAUCAAGGCUCAUCCUUAAGUCCUUACCUUUUUGCGUUGGUAAUGGAUGAGUUAACAAGACAUAUUCAAGAUGAUAUUCCUUGGUGUAUGCUUUUCGCAGACGAUAUAGUGUUGAUAGAUGAAACUCAGGAAGGGGUAAAUGCGAAGCUUAACCUUUGGAGAGAAGUGUUGGAAUCUAAAGGUCUUCGCCUAAGCCGAUCAAAGACAGAAUAUAUGGAGUGCAAGUUCAGUGCAAAUGGAGGCCAAAAUGAGUUAGGGGUGAGGAUCGGAGAUCAGGAAAUACCACAAAGCGAUUGUUUUUGCUACUUAGGAUCUAUCUUGCAAAAGAACGGAGAAUUAGAUGGAGAUCUCAACCAUAAAAUACAAGCUGGAUGGAUGAAGUGGAAGAGUGCAUCCGGCGUGUUAUGUGACCACCGUAUGCCACUGAAGCUCAAGGGAAAAUUCUAUAGGACGGCAAUAAGGCCGGCGAUGCUGUAUGGCACAGAAUGUUGGGCGGUGAAGCAUCAACACGUACACAAAAUGGGUGUAGCGGAGAUGAGGAUGCUUCAUUGGAUGUGUGGGCACACGAGAAAGGAUAAGAUUAGGAAUGAGGAUUUUCGAGGUAAAGUAGGAGUAGCCGAAAUUGUAGGAAAAUUGAGAGAAAAUCGGUUACGGUGGUUUGGACAUGUGCAAAGAAGGCCUACUGACGCUCCGGUUAGAAGAUGCGACUACGGGACAGAGGUUCAGGGCCGAAGGGGUAGAGGAAGACCUAGGAAAACUUUGAAAGAGACUCUAAGAAAAGACUUAGAGUAUUUGGAUCUAACGGAGGACAUGACACAGGACCGAGCACAAUGGCGUUCUAAGAUUCAUAUAGUCGACCCCACUCAGUGAAGAAGGCUUUGGUGUAUUUAACACAAUACGUUGAAAUGAAGCAAAGCUUAUUUAUUGAUAUCUCCGAUAAGUUACAAAUAUGUACAUAUACAUGAGUCAAAAUAAAUAAACAAGAGGGAGCCUUCACAAAGUUUGCUUAGGAGAAGUCUCAGCAGUCGGUAGAGCCCCAGAAAGAGAAGGCACCAGAGGGGUAUCAUUCGGAGCCUCAGUACUGGACAAAACCUUAGAAGGAGGAGGCAUCGGAGGUUGAUCAUUCGGAGCUUCAUUACGCGGUACAGCCCCAGAAGACGAAGGCAAUAAAUGCCUUUAGAACAAACCCACAAACCGCUAAUGAUCAAGUAAAACCUGACCAUCAUAUUCCUUCAUCUGGUCAAGCUUCCUCUUCAUGUUUGUAGCAUAGUCAUGUGCGAGCCGGUGCAACUGUUUAUUCUCAUGCUUGAGUCCUCUAAUCUCCUGUUUGAGACUCAUCACUUCAGCCGCCAAUGAUUCAACAUGGCGGGUUCGAGCAAAUAGGCAUUGGGCCAUAUUAGACACAGAACCUGCAUACUAAACACUUAGAGCCAGAGAAUCCUUAACAGCAAACUCAUCAGACCGUUUGGAAAGUAGUCUGUUAUCUUUGGGAGUGAGAAGGUUCCUGGCCACCACCGCAGCAGUCAUAUCAUUUUUCAUCACGGAAUCCCCAACGGUAAAAGGACCAGUAGGGGAUAAGAAGGAUGGGCGCCAUAUGUUGUCUGGAGAAGGCGUGGCUACCUCUUCAACAAGGUUCAAGUCAAAACGACGGUCGGAGGGGCCAGACAUUUUCAAAGGUGUUGAAGAGAGAAAAGGUCGGACAAAUCAAGAUCUUAAAAGUGCAAGAAGGGAGCUUCUACUGGUGAAGAUUCAAGUGUGCUUUGGAACUUAAUGCCAGCCUCUAUAAAAAUCUGCACUCGACGGAGCUUCAGAAAUCGAAGAGGCGUUUGCUUUCUCAAAAGCUGGGCUGCUCAGAGACCACGAGGGCCGAUCUCAAAAAUUGAAGAGGCGUUUGCUUUCUCAAAAGCUGGGCUGCUCAAAGACCAUGAAGGUCGAUCUCAGAAAUCGAAGAGGCGCUUGCUUUCUUAAAAGCUAGGCUGCUCAGAGACCACGAGGACCGAUCUCAGAAAUCGAAGAGGCACCUGUUUUUCUCAGCCUUGUCAGCACCUGUCACAUGCACACUCGGCUUUGCUGAAAUUACGGGCAUUCUGUUGAAGAUUUCUGGUGAAGUAGAAAGCACGUGAAUCUUACUGUUCAAUCAUCCACUUUCCACACGCACUAUCAGCUCAUGGGUACCACAGAUAACGUUGCCAAAGAUCUCUGACAAAGUUUAGACACGUGAAGCUUGCAGCUCCCACUACAUCGCUAUGACCAAGAAGGGUAAAAGAAUAGCAAAGAAACAGCACUAACAAAGUUUAGACACAUAAAUUUUGGAGGUCUAGCUACCAUAUUAUUACCCACAAGGGUAAAGGAACAGCACCACUGCUGGAUAAUUGGAAAGUCCCUAUGUGUCAACCUCUGUGCUCCGUGGCAAGGUAGACUAGCAAACAUGCCCAACCUUUACUCACAUUCGAGAAAACACUCCCAACAAGAUUGCUUGCUCCAAAAUUGAAAAGGCACCAUCCUCCGAAUCUUGAGAGCCAGACUCCCAACAUGAUUACUUUCUCAAAAAAUCGAAGAGACACCGCUCUCCGAAUCUCGAGAGCCAGACUCCCAGCAAGAUUGCUCUCUAAAAAAUCGAAGAGGCACCGUUCUCCGAAUCUCGAUAGCCAGAUCCCCGACAUGAUUGCUUGUUCAAAAACUGAAGAGGCACCGCUUUCUCAACUUCGAGAGUCAGAUCUCCUUGGAUAAAGCUUGUCUGUAAUCUUCACACGCAACAUCAGCUUUCCAGAUACCACAGACCACUUUUUCAAAGUGCUCUGACACACGUGAAGCUGGCAGCUCCCACUACCGUGCUAUGACCAAGCAGGGUAAAUGAAUAACAUUACUACUUGUUGUUAGGGAAACUCCUAUAUAUGUCGACCUCUAUCCUCAACGGACAGGCAGACCUGCAAAAAUGCUCAACCCUUCCUCAUAUCUGAGAGGGCACUCCCAACGAAGCCUCUCAAAAUACUCAGCUUUCUUUCCCCUCGAUAAUCACUCUGCAAACAAGCUACACCAGAGCAAGAAUAUCUCAUAUCAUCAGGGUUAAAAGCAAGAGUAUCCCAUAUCAUGCUGUUUCCCUGUCUUUUCCUUUGGCCUUGUUCUUACCUGCAAGACAAGGAGAAAGAGAGCAAUCAGUCAGCACUUGGAAUCAAGCUUCUAGUCAGGAACUGACUGCCUGGAACCCCUUACCUGAAUACUUACCUGGCAUUGCCCUCGAGUACUCAUCUUCAACAUCUUAUGCUUCCAGAGAAGAUACCACAUCUGCCUGAGGAACAGAUAGGGAAAGUGAGAAGGAUACAAGGAAGCAUGUGGAGACAAGCGUAACAGAACACGUGCCGAUACAUCCACUACUUUGUCAACAACAAAAGUAUCCCAUAUCAACAGGGUCGAACGUACUCUAGAUUUGAUGGACUUGUUUUGACCCUCAAAUUCUUCAGUCGACCUUAUAUUCUGGAGGAAACCAGAAAAUCCUCCAGCCCAGUUCAAGAAUAAGCCUGUGGAAAGUUACUUAUUCAAAAGAAAAAGUAUCUCAUAUCAUCUAUUCUCCUUUUCUUCUUUUUAUCCUUCAUGCUGCUUGCAAGAUAGGGAGAAUGAGAACAAUCAGCCGAAACUCGAAAUCAAACUUCUGAUCUGGAACUGAUUGCUUGGAGCUUUGAUUGCUUACCUUGUCUGUCGUCUCUUUCAGCAGAUCCCCUAGCUCGGUGACUUGAGGGACUCCUACUACAUGGUUUGUAUCACGCUUGACCAAGCCUGAAACUACAAGUAAGCUUCAAGUGAAAUUGAUACAUUACCUUGUGCAUCUCUACCAGUUAAAGAUACCACCCCUGGAUGGAGGAAGAGUACUUCCAGAGAAGAUGCCACAUCUACCUAUGAGACAGAUAAGGCAAGUGAAGACGAGAGCUUGAACCUAUGUCAUUUGUACUAAAUCAUUCACUUGUACUCACUAAAGGAGAGCUUGAACCUAUGUACUUGUGUAAACCUUUCACAAUUAAUGAGAACUCCUCUACUUCGUGGACGUAGCCAAUCUGGGUGAACCACGUACAUCUUGUGUUUGCUUUCCUGUCUCUAUCCAUUUACAUACUUAUCCACACUAAUGACCAGAGCAAUCUAGCGAAGAUCACAAACUUAAUACUUUCUGUUGUACCAAAGUCCUCACUGAUUUUGUGCAUCAACAAUCCUUAAGUCCUUACCUUUUUAUGUUGGUAAUGGAUGAGUUAACAGGACAUAUUUAAGAUGAUAUUCCUUGGUGUAUGCUUUUCGCAAACGAUACAGUGUUGAUAGAUGAAACUCAGGAGGGGUAAAUGCGAAGCUUAACCUUUGGAGAAAAGUGUUGGAAUCUAAAGGUCUUUGCCUAAACCGAUCAAAGACAGAAUAUAUAGAGUGCAAGUUCAGUGCAAAUGGAGGCCAAAAUGAGUUAGGGGUGAGGAUCGGAGAUCAGGAAAUACCAAAGAGCGACCGUUUUUUCUACCUAGGAUCUAUCUUGCAAAAGAACGGAGAAUUAGAUGGAGAUCUCAACCAUAGAAUACAAGCUGGAUGGAUGAAGUGGAAGAGUGCAUCCGGCAUGUUGUGUGACCGUCGUAGGCCACUAAAGCUCAAGGGAAAAUUUUAUAGGAUGGUAAUAAGGCCGGUGAUGCUGUAUGGCACAGAAUGUUGGGCGGUGAAGCAUCAACACGUACACAAAAUGGGUUUGGACAUGUGCAAAGAAGGCCUACUGACGCUCCGGUUCGAAGAUGUGACUACGGGAUAGAGGUUCAGGGCUGAAGGGGUAGAGGAAGACCUAGGGAAACUUUGGAAGAGACCCUAAGAAAAGACUUAGAGUACUUGGAUCUAACAGAGGACAUGACACAAAACCGAGCGCAAUGGCGUUCUAGGAUUCAUAUAGCCGACCCCACUUAGUGGGAAAAGGCUUUGUUGUUGUUGUUGUUGUAUGAAUUUAGAAAACCAUUAAUUACCGAAUUCUUGUAUAGAUUGCCAUUCUAACCAGUAACCACUACUACUGACUACCGACAAGGAAAAUAAAAAUCUGAUCGAGAAACUAAACAAGGGAAACGAUUGAGGACCCUAAAUUCAAUUUGCUUUCGUUGCAGUGGCUUUCGAAAAGAAUCAGUGAGAAACAUAUGCAGUUCAUCAAGCACUGAUAGAGACUCUCACACCCAUUUCAUCAAACAGUUAGCAGGCGAGUUUUCACAUGCAUUAUCAAUUGAUCAUCACUUUUUUUCCACAACUUUUUACCAAACUGCAACAAAAGCAACUUGGUUUUCACCAAGUAAACACAUUAAAAAAUGAAAAUAAAAAUCGAGAACCCAAUUGGUCUCCAUCCAUUUCGGAAUCAUGGAAAUUACUUAAUGAGAGAAAAAAAAGACCAAUAAAAAUCCAUGCAUAGUUCAGAUUAAUACAACGCAAAAUCAGAUACCUGUAUGGGUUUUAAAGGAGAUUCUGCUUCAAUGGAAGAGGAGGAAUUCAUUCACUGGGAAAUGGGAUUACACUCAGAGGGCAGUGUGGUUAAUGGUUACCGGCAUGGUGAUUGUGGGCGUGGGGCGGAGGUAUGUGAAGAAACUAGGGUGGGUUGAAAAACGAAAACCGAAAAAAACCAAGCUGAAAACCAAACGAAGACCGAAAAAACCAAAUUGGAAAAAAAAAACCGAAUCGAAUUUGGUUGGUUCAAAAACCGAACUGCACCGAUAUAUGAAAAUCAUGUAUAAAUCCUCAAAACCUCGUGGCGUGAGAAUUCAGACCCCUUCCGUCCAGGUUGGGGAUAGUUGCUUCAAGCCAACUUGACUGUGGAUUUUGUGUUCCUAUAAUUGUACGAGUACGUUAUCUAUAGGUAUUCUAAUAUUCAAUGCUUUAUAAAAUUUCUAAAGUUUACAAACCCUAGCCUUCACUCCCAUUUUGAAACACUCUCUCCGUCUCCUCAUCUGCUUUCUUCCUCCCUGCUUCCUCAAUCUCUCUCUCUCCUUCCUCUCUUCCUCCAAAUCACUCUCUCUCCAGUCUUUUCCUAUCCUCCUUGCGGAUUCCUUCUUCCAAACCAUGAUUUUCCCUCACCCCUUUCGAAUCGAAACUGUCACAACUCGUCCUAAAUUAUUACUAUCGACGAUGUAAAAUGACGGUUUUAUCCUUGGACGUUAAAAUUGUAGUGUGUGUGUUAUGCUUUGAGACUUAGAUGAUAUUUUCUUUGGUUGGUUGGUGACCCACGUGGAACACACAUACACACUUUCACUCUCUCUCUCUCUCUCCCCUUCCCGUGCACUCUCUCUCUCCUCCCUCUCGAUUUUCUCCUAUUUCCGUCAACCUUGUACGAAUGAACGUCAAGUUCACCAUUCACGCACGGAUCAACGUUAAAAAGGUAAAGUUCUUGUUCCCUACAAGCUCAUGAGUCCAUUCGUACCAUUAUUAGGACCUGAAAACCUCAAAAACCCUGAGAACUCUAACCUCCGAUUUGGUGCAUUGUUCAUGCACACGUAAAUGUGAAGGUUUCAGUUGAUUUUAAGCUCACAUGGAGCUUUAGAAGGCCCUCACGAAGCUCGGAGAAGAAAAACCAAGCGAUUUGGACGUUGGGAUCGUCAGUUUCAAGUUAGGCUGAUUUUCCUCAAAUUUCUCCGGCGAGAUUCCGUGAUCUUUGGGGAUUUAAACAGGUAAGGAAAUGUUCUACAAGUUAAGAGCUUCAAUUUGGUACUGGUUUCAUGAAUUUUGGUUGAAAAACGAGUGAGAUAUCAAGGUUUAAAGAAAUUCCCAGUUUCCGGCGCCGGCAACGGUUGCCGGAGUUCUGAGGUAAGGGAUGACGGAAUAUUCCUAACGGAGUUGGUUAGUUUUAACGGUUUCCGUUACUUUUAACGAAAUAUUCUUAACGGCGUCACUGUUACCGUCAGUGUGCCUGGCACGUGCCCACGCGUGGGCGGCAUGUCUGGCCGUGCCUUGGUCGGCGCGUGGGUGGUCAGAAAUUUUUUCUAAAAAAUAUGGGGAUGUUCGUGAGGUUGUGUAGAUCACGUUGGUAUAUUCAAACACCCCAUUUGAGCAUUGUAUGAGAAGUUAUUAGCUAGCUUUGUUUAUGUGCCUUAAAUAACAUUUUUAUAGUUAUUUCGCAUAUAGGGGAGGCUUAUCCCGAGGACGAACGCAGUCAAGGGUGACUCGAGGGCUACGACCCUUCGACAUACCAGUGAGUGGGCUUUUGGUUUUCAGUAUAUAUUUAUAUACUUGAUAUUUUCCCAGAAAAUGCGUUUAAAUGAAAGUAUGCUUUGAAUGCCAUGCAUCUAAAUUUAUAUUUCGUAUAUGAAUUAGUAUAUGAUACAUAUAUAUUAUUAUGGUGAUGUGGACGCUCAGGUAAGCCCAGGUGAGUUAUGAAUUGUGAAUGUGAUUAAGAUGAUGAUUAAUUGAGAAGCUUUGAGCUCAUAAACCUGCACCUAGGGUGUUAAUGAUUAGUCAGAGAUAUGACAUAGGUCUGUUAUUAUAAUGUCACCUCCUGCACCAUAUGCUCACAUUAGAUCUAAAUUAGGUGCACAAUCUUGUCGUACAGACCAUCAUAGGUGGUUCUGACUCGUAGGUGACUAGCAAUUUAUCGCUCAGCUAUUAUGAGAGAAUAGUAUCGAGCAUAAUUAUAUUACACCCAGUCUUUGUUGGAAAUAUGCCCUGAAAGUCAAUCUUUGGAAGAAACCUUUCAGGACAAUGAAUGGAUGUAUAGAUGAUUCUUGUACAUCAAAUGGCAUAGAUACUAAUUAGGACUAUCUUAACACACGAUAUAUGUCCUAAAUAGUGAAUCCAUGGACAAUGGAUUGAUGGAAGAAGUAAUCUAAUGAUGUUAGACUACAGAGACCUUCUUCACAUAACCACCAUGUCCAAAAGGUUCCUGGUCAUAGGAUUGUCGGAGGGAUACUGACAAUGCAUAGACUGGUACAUACUAUGUCCGCUUCAAUUGGAAGGAUGGAAAGUCUCGUCCCAUUCAUGUAGUGACACUAAGACAGGUAUGUAGGUGCUCAUUAAGGGAAUGAGUUCACUGAACACAAUCAAACGAGAGUACUUACAUAGAGGUCUACUCACAUGUCAAGCAAGUAACUCUAAUGGUUGGAAUAAUGUAAGUAGUCCUUUGACCUGAGGCAUCAUAGUUGUCUUGUGGUUAGGUACUUGAUCUUUGAUUAUGUAAAAGUCACUCCAUCCGCGGGUGUCCACGGCAUAGUUGGGGUUAAGCCACUUAGUCAUGGAGGCAAGUGAAUGCGCAACAAGGAAUCUCUAAUCCUCGUUAAGAAAAGGAUGAAUACUCUAAGAUAUGAUUCAGGAAUCUUCGGCCGAAGUAUCGAGCGUAAUAAAGGAAAGCGUUCCUAUACGACUCAAAUGAAUCAUAUAAGAAGGAAUAAUCACAUUAGGGGUUUGACAUAACAUAUCCAUACCCUAGUAAUGUGAUUGAGAGUAUUGUUUUAGAGAAUGAUCGAAUUACAUUGUAAUUCCAACUGAAUAGGUUCUCCGAACAAAUUCUACAUUAACUUGGGUAGCCAUGAUAUAUGGUUAGAUGUCACUCAUGACUUGUGAGUUCUUCUAGAUGAUUAAAUGUAGUCGUCAAAAAAGAAGGAGAAUUAAAGUAUGUUUUAAUUCACUAAGUGAUUGGAUUAAAAAUAAUCAAUUGGAUUGGUGCCAAUCACCUCACUGCCUUGCUAAUUAGAACCUAAAAUGAUUGUUCACCAAUACACUCUUGUAGUGAGUAACUAAUGGAUGAUGGAAAUAAUUAAUUGGAUUAAUUAAGUGUUGUGAUUAAUUAGAAUGUCUAAAGAAAUCAUAAAAGCGAUAAAAGAUCGUUUUGGGCUUAAAGAAAAGUUCGGGUCUAAUUGGGCCCAUUGGGCCUAAACCCAUUGGGCUUUUAUUCAAGCAUAUGAUGACUUGAAAUAAUAAAAGUACAAAGCCCAAACAACACUAAAGGGGCCGGCCAAAGGAGGGAGAGAGAGAGUCAAAUGUUGACUUGUUUCUUUUUGGUUAUAAAAGGAACUUUAUAGCACAAAGUUUUAUUAGGGUUUUUGAAGUGUUAAAACAACAAAAGAGAAAAAGAAAAUAUCUCUCUCAACACUCAAAGGGCCGGCCACCAAAGGGGGGGUUUAGCUAAUCAUCUUCUCACCCUUUUGGUUAUUCCUUCAUCCUUCUCACUACUCUAGUGGGUGAGGAUCUUUAGAGGUCUUCAACUUUGGAGACUUAAGGAGAACCAAGGAGCACUCAUUCUAACAAAGUGGAGGAGGCAAGGAGGGAGGCUAGGCUCAAGGAGUUCCAACAACAAAGGGCUUGGAGGUGGUCCAUCCUUGGUCUAAAGUCUAGAUCAAGAGGUAUAAAACUACUCCUACACUUUGUUCUUCAAUAAAUUGUUUUUGAUGCAUCUUACAUAAACCUAUGCAUCUUGAAGGGGAUUUGCAUGACUAUAGCUUUGAUAUUAUUUGAUAACAUGCUUCCGUUGCUUUCGUAUAUAAAUUUUGAAUUGUAUAUGCAUGCUAGUCACUAGAAAUCCCACAUGAAAACUCAUUAUUUUCCCUUCAGUCUUGUCGUACAGGCCCCUUUUUAGUGGUUCCGACUUAUGUGCAGUGUAGUGCCAUAUAGGUCAUAGUAGUGACUCCGGCUAGAUUGACUAAUGAGCUAUGAAUUCAGCCGUACAGAUUUAUGCAGAGGUUCCGACUAAUAUGUUAUUUUAGUGGUUCUAACAUAUAUAAAUAAUUGUAGGACAUCUUAUGGUACUGUAUAAUUAGUACUCGUCCUACUGGACUGCACCUAAACUUUCUAUGCUCUGAUUAGGAGUAUUUACACUUAUAUCUCACUCUUAUUUCUUCUUGUUUAUUAGUACACAUUAGUAGCUUUCGAUUUUUGUUUAUUCGUAUAACUCUUAUCUUUAUCGCUUCCGCACUGUGCACAUGGCUACGUCACUCUCACAUGACGGCCAGCAUGCCUUGAUCUCGAUCGGGGUGUGUCAGGAACCCCUUCCAAAUUGGAAGAUUCUAAUCCAAAAAUUUUCCAAUCUCUCAUAGGUAAUUUUCGAUUCAACACAAAUAUGAUUUGUAUUGUGGUUUUGUUGAAUUAAAAUGGGUUUUUCUUUUAAUUAUUUUGUUGGGGUUUUUCAUAUUGUUCAUAUUUUGGGGCUUUCCAUAUUGACAUUUGUUUAUUUUUCGAUCUCUCACAUUUGUUCAUUGCUUCAGGAAACCAUGGAUUUCAAGUGGUUGUUGCUGGGCAUCAUUUCGGAAAUGCAAGUGUGAUGGCUCCUCGUUCACAACAAUAAUUCUAGAUCCUUGUUGCAAUGAUUUGUUUGUGCUUUUCUACAGCUAGAAGAUUCACUUAGGAAUUUUUUAAGGAAUUUUUUCUUAGGAAUCAACAAUAUUUUGAAUUGAAUCAUUUGGGACGUUUUAAACUGAAUCAACAAUGUUUUCUUAGGAUUUUUUUUUUGUUGUUGAAGAAAAAAAAAACCCAAACCAGGGCGAAACUGAACUGGAAAAAAACCGAAAAAAAAUUGAACCGAACCGAAAUUUCGGUUCGAUUUCGGUUUUGGCAAAAAACCAAACUGUUUCAAACUGAACCCAGCCCUAGAAGAAACAGGAAAAAUGGGUCAAAUAAAUAGGUUAUUUAUUUACUUUUUUUUUUACAAAUAAUUGAAUAAUUUACAUUCCACUAGGGAAGGGCGAAUGAUCAUUAUCAACUAAGGUUGUCACAUUUGUCCUUAAUUUAAUGUAUUUUAUCCUUUGGUACUGAGAAGCUACAAAAGUGCCCUUGGUAGGAUAAGUAGAAAUCCUACGUGGACAUUUGUAUCCUUGUCACUCUUUGUCCUUUUUCUCGCCUUACUGGAUACUACGUGACCUUAUGAACACGUAAGCACGAAUGAGACGUAAAUCGAACGUGCAACGACCAAUUUACUCACAUUUCCCCAGGGGCAAAAUGAUAAUUUUGCACUCUCAAACUUGUUUUUCGAGACAAUAGUGGCCUCUCAGUAUUCAAGCAUGCUGAAAAUGGUACCAGGUGGAAUAUUCUGUAAUUAAAAUUCAAUAUAUGCUUGACUAACUAGUUAGCGUCAUCAAUUAAUGAAGAUCAAAAUUGUUAGUUUACCAAAAGCAAGAAUAAUUAAUUAUACUUGGUUUACUGAAGAGGUCAUAGUUAACUAACGUCCAGUUCAAUAUACAUGUCAAUUUGCAAACCCUAGAGACCAUAAAUCACAUGCAAAGGAAUAAGGUGUUAGAGAUAUGCCUUGAAAAUCAAUCUUUGGAAGAAACCUUUCAGGACAAUGUCUGAAUGUAUGGUUAAGUCUAAUACAUCAAAAAGGGUAAAGUCAAUUAUUAGGACUAUCUCAAUGAACAAUAUACGUCCAAAUAGUGAGUCAAUGGACAAUGGAUCGAAGGAAUAAGUAAUCUAAAGAUGUUAGACUACAGAGACUUUUUUCACAUAACCAUAAUGUCCAAAAAAAUCCUGGUCAUAAGAGUGUCAGAAGGUCAUUGACAAUCCGGAUAGACCAGUACGUGCUAUGUCUGCUUCAAUUGGAAGGAUGACAAGUCUCAAGCCAUUCGUAUAGGGACACUAAGACACGUAUGUAGGUGCUCGUUAAGGGAAUGAGUCCACUUAACACAAUCAAACGAGAGUACAUGCAUGGAGGUCUACUCACAUGUCAAGCAAGUAACUCUACUGGUUGGAAUAAUGUAAGUAGUCCGUUGACCUGAGACAUUAUAGUUGUCUAGUGGUUAGGUCCUUGAUCUUUGACGGUGUCAAAGGCAUUCCAUUUGAGAGUAUUUGUUGGGGUUAAGCUGUCUAAUCAUGUACACAUGUGAAUGUUCAACAAGAAAUCUAUAAUCCUCAGUACGAGAGGAAAAAUACUUGAAGAUAUGAUUUCGGAAUCUUUGCCAGAAGUAUCGAGCAUAAUAAUGGAAGGCAUUCCUGUACGACUCAAUUGAAUCAUAUAACAUAGUUUAAUCACAUUAGGGGUUUGACAUAAAGUAUCCAUACCCUAGUAAUGUGAUUGAGAGAAUUGAUUUAGAGAAUGAUCGAGUUACAUUGUAAUUCCAACUGAAUAGGUUUUUCAACCAAAUUCUACAUUAGCUUGGGUAGCCAUGAUAUAUGGUUAGAUGUCACUCAUGGCUUGUGGGUCCUUCUAAAUGAUUAAAUAAGUAGUCAUCAAAGAAGAAGGAGAAUUAAAAAUAAGUUUUAAUUCACUAAGUGAUUGUAUAAGUACUAAUCAAUUGGAUUGAUACCAAUCACCUCACUGCCUCACUAAUUAGAAUCUAAAACGAUUGUACACCGAUACACUCGUGUGGUGUGAUAACUAAAGGAUGAUGGAAUUAAUUAAUUGGAUUAAUUAAAUGUUAUGAUUAAUUCGAAAGUCUAAAUAAAUCAUAGAAGCGAUGAAAGAUCAUUUCGGACUUAAAGAAAAGUUCGGGUUCAUUCGGGCCUAUUGGGCCUAAACCCAUUGGGCUUUUAUUCAAGGAUAGAGUGGCUUGAAAUGAUAAAAUCCCAAAGCCCAAAAAAAAAUCACUAAGAGGGCAGGCUGUUAGGGUGAAGAAAAGAAAAGGUAAAAGUCAAUUUGUUGACUCACUUGUCCCACCUCUAUGGAGGAGUUUGAGUGAAAAAGUAUUUUAAGGGCUUUUGUGUAUUCUUUUCACAUAUAGAGAAAACAAGUCUCUCUCUCUCUUUUUCUCUCUCUCCACACACACACACACAUAGCCUGCCACCAAGGGGAAAAAAAAAACUAAUUAUCUUUUCUCCUUUUGGUCAUCCACUCAUCCAUCUCACUACACUAGUGGGUGUGGAUCUUUAGAGGUCUUCUACACUUGGAGGCUUAAGAAGAACCAAGGAGCUCUAAAUCUUCGAGGUGGAGAAAGCAAGGAGGGAGGGUAGACUCAAGGAGUUCAAAGAAACAAAGAUCUUGGAGGUGGUCCAUCAUUCGUCUAAAGUCUAGAUUAUGAGGUAUAAAACUCAACCUUCACUUUGUUCUUCAAUAUUUUGUUUGAUGUAUCACUUAUGAACCUAUGCUUCUUGAAUGAGAUUUGCAUGACUAUAGCUUUGAUAAUAUGUGAUAAUAUGCUUCCGUUGCUUAUGCUUAUGUAUAUAAAUUUAGAACUAUAUAUGCAUGCUAAUCACUAGAAAUCCCAUAGAAAUCUCAAUAUUUCCCUUCAAAUGGUAUCAAGAGCCAAUGUUUUAUAUUUGAUGUGUCAUUUUGGAUUUUAUGCAUAUGGGUUUUGGUUUUGUUUUUAACAUACUAGUUCUUCAUUCUAGAUAUGUUUAUCUUUUGUUUUUAAAGAGUUGAAAAGUUAUGUAUGCAAAAAGUGUUUUGGAUACAUGAAUGAAGAGUGAGUUUUGAACAAAAAUCUGGGGCUUUUCUACUAUAGGGGAGGGUACGGUUUUGGGGGUGUUUUUGGGCUUGUAUUUGUGUUUCUUUUGAGUCACACACACACACACACACACACACACACACACACACACACACACACUCUUUUAAACUAGAAAGCCAAGGUCACUUUUGUUUUUGGUUUGAAAAACCACCAUGAAAGUGCAAAUCUUGAAAUUGUUUUCAUGGUUUUGUUCUUGGUGUUCAUCCUUUGCUUUUGUAUUUGGGUAUUAAACUUUGUUUCAAGAACUUUCCUUGAUUUCCUCCAUCCUAGACUAGACUAGGACACCAUACCCAAACCAUACCUUUAAGGUCAACAAGUACAAAAGGUAACAAGGAAAAGUAUGGGCUCUUAUUUUCUUUUAAAGGCUUUUUAGCCAAAAUGGUCAUUGAUAUUUGCACAACUCCUCACUUUGGUCCCUGAGAUUUGAAAUCAAUAGAAUUGGUCAUUGAUUUUGUCCACAAUCAAUCAUUUUAGUCCUUGGAUAAAAAAUUAUGUUAAAUAAGGAUCAAAAUGAUAAAAUUAACCUCAAUUUAAUAAACAAUAGGCCAAAAUGAUUUGACAAAAAUUGAGGAUAUUUUUUUCAUUUUACCCUUAUUUUAUGGAGAUUUUUCAUGGAAGGCCCAAACAAUUGAUUGUGCACAAACUUAGGGACCAAUUCUAUUGAUUUCAAAUCUUAGGGACCAACGUGAGCAGUUAUGUGAAUCUCAUGGAUCAUUUUGGCUAAAAAGCCUCUUUUGAAAUAAUGGGAAAAGUUUGACCUUCUCCCUCUCCCCAUCACCAUAAUCGGCCAUACCUAUUGAUGAGACCUUUGUGGGCUCUUUUGCAAUUUUAAAAAGUUGAUUAUAAACAAAUCCCUUGGUGGAUAAGUUCGACGACUCAGCAAGAGUGUGGAAUUGAGUCUCUCGUUUGGUGGAUCUAAUCUACUUUCUAAUAUUUGCGGUUUCACCCAUAACUUUUUAUAUAUUUGCAUUUUGGCCCCACCUCACUAGAGGACAAAAAUGUAUUGAUAUUUUAUUUUUGUUUGUAGUUUAAACUCAUUAUAAAAUUAUUCCCAUGUGUACUAAAUCUAAUUGUUAUGUUGCAUUCCAAUUUAAUUAUCUAAUGUGAUUAAGUAGUUAGAAAAAUGUUUGGCUAUGGACUUGUGCCUUAAACAAAAAAAUUGAACUAUGUGAUAGGCCGUUAAAUUCAAAUGGUUUGAACCUUGGGAAAGUGUUUUAAUUACCAAUUCAAUUGGACCACAACACGUUAGACUUUAAUUUUUCUCUCCCCCUUAGUAUAUGGUAAUUUGUAGGAAUAUGUACAAAUCGGUUUGUGAUUCUUAUUACUUCUCUAUUAGUUGAAUCCCUCUAGUGCUAGACUACAGUUUCUUUAACUAAUGGUAAGGAGACAUUAAAAGGGGUUUUAAUGAGACUAAGAAAUGUUGGGUCCAAUGCCCUAAUUAGCAAUGAAUGAUUGUCUUUCGUUUCUGAUGGCUCAAUGAAAAAUAUUUUAAUUGGAUUGAAAGCGCAUAAUUAAAACGACACUACCUUCCCUAGAUCUUAUUCAACAAUGUUGACUCAUUGUUGAAUUAACCUUAUAAGUCCAUAGUCAUCCAAAGAGUCUAAGAUAACUAUAAAGUCCAAAUUCAGAAGGAAUGCAAAACUUCUCUUAGUAGUAUAUAUACUUCAAAUAGGAAUGAUGAGGGUUCGAGAAAAUCUUAGGGUUUCUUCAUCUUCCUCUUCUUAAAUUUGGCCACUUACAUCAUGGGUGAUCAUCUUCCUGUAAUUCCUUGAUCGUUUCUAGCCAAUUUGAAUUCAUCUCCUUUGAAGUCAUCCUAUGCAUCUCGAGUUUCUACGGUUUCACCACAACCUAAGAUUGAUACUUUGUUGGUGCCUACAAUAAAGGGUGGUUUAGUAUCUAUUCAGAUUUCGAAAGAUUCCUAUCAGAGGAGUCUUGACAAGUGCACGCAUAAUCUUGUGGGUAAAGUCUUGCUGCAAAAAGGAAAAUAAGCCAUGGCCUACUUAGGACAUGGUUAUUCGUUUAAAGAAGUUAUGGCCUUCCUUGCAAUCCUGGUGGUCCAUCCCUAUGGUGAAGGCUUUUUAUGUUUUCCAAUUUGCAACCCCAGAAGAUAUGCAACACGUUUAGGUAGGUGGUGUUAUUUCUCUUCAACCUGGCAACUUGAGGUUUUACCAAUGGACCCCUAAUUUUUCCCCAAACAAUUUCAAAAACACUACUGCACAAUUAUGGGUGUGGUUUUGGGAUCUGGGUCUUGAAUAUUGGGACCCCACAACCUUAUUUGAAAUUGCAUCACAAAUAGGUACUCCAAUUAAGAUUGAUCCCGCGACUUUGAACAAGAGCAUUGGGCUGUAUGCUCGAGUUUUAAUUGAUGUGGAUCUUUCAAUUAAUCCACCUUUUAAGAUUUUAGUGGAGCAUGCUCAUGGUGAUUCUUUGUUGGUGAGUCUUGAAUUUGAAAAGUUCUCAUCUAUUUGUUCUAGCUAUGGCAAUAUUGGACAUCACAUCCAGAAUUGUAGAGUUAAACAAGGGGAAAACUCUCCAUCACAGGGGCGUAGUAGUAGAUCAAGGUCUCGCCAUUGACAUAAGCGUGAAAGAGUAGUAAGUAAGUAUGUCCCAAAGGAUGCUGGUAAAAAGGUAGUUAUUGAGCCAACUCAACCAAAUUUACCCGAUGACAGAGAAAGUCCUUCUUUUGUGAAGCAGACUACCUCUGAUAUUCCUACAGUCCCUGUUAUAACUCAUUUAGAGUCUGAUCAUUCUAUGCUUGAGAGUGUUGAUCCCAUAAGUUUCCCGACUAUGGUUGUUGUUCCUGUUCAGUCUGAUUUGAACAAUUUUGCAUUAGUAGCUAAUGUCAGUAAUAUGAGUUUAACUACUGAGGUGACUCCAGUUGUCGAUGUGAGUACUCCGAUAUUAGACCAUGUUGUGAAUAAUGCGACAUUGGUUACGAAUGUCAAUUUUUUUUUUUACAUCGGGGUGCAAAUAAUAUGACUCUAGUUGCAAAUCCAUUAGCUAAUGAGGUUGAUGUUAUGGUUGCUCACACAUAAGAUCUAAUGAUGAUGAUGGCUUUACCCCAGUUGUCUCUAAAAGAAAGAAAAAACAAUAUGGUCUUAUACGUAAUGAGCCUCAUGGCACCAGGGCCUUUAUGGCUAAAACUAAGCCUUCUUUAUGAAGUUACUAUAUUGGAAUGCCUGCGGGGUAGCAAAUGCUUCCACUUGUCGGGUUAUUACGCGAAUGGUUCAUUCUCACCAUCCUUUUAUGCUUUGUUUAUUAGAGCCCUUUGUCUCUUUAUCUUCCAUUAAGCCUUCCAUGUGGAGAGCUUUGAGAUUGUUUCCUGUGCCUACCAAUGAUCGUGGAUCUCAAGAACCUAAUCUUUGGUUACUUUGUCAUGUUGAUGUCACUCCAACUGUGCUUUCCGUAACUACUCAACAACUUACAGUUUCUUGUAUCUUGGAUUCAGUAUCUUGUACAAUUGCUUAUGUUUAUGCUAAAACAACGGUGGUUGCACGACAUCAGUUGUGGUAUGAUCUUGCUUAUGUGAAGUCUUUCUUUGUUAACGGUCCAUGGGUUAUCAUUGGUGAUUUCAACUGUGUUUUGGGUGCUUAUGAGAAGCGCGGGAGUGUACUGCCUAAUGCUAACUCAUGUUCUGAAUUUCAGAUGAUGUCUUCGGUUUGUGAAUUGGUCCACCUUCCUACAAAAGGGAUAUCAUACACUAGGGGUUGUGGGGUUCACAGGCAAGUUGAGAUGCGUUUAGAUCGGUGCCUAUGCAAUUUUUCUUAGAUCGAGACGUGGUCUAUUUCAGAAGUUUCUACUCUCACUCGCUUAUGUUCAUAUCAUUGUCCUUUAUUAUUGUCUUUUUCAAAGGCGGAGGUGGUUGCUCGGUCCCCAUUUCGUUUUCAAAGAGCUUGGUUCGAGCAUCCUGAUUUUAUGGCAUUUGUAUCCACUAUUUGGCAUGACUCCAACUUUUUGGGUUGUCCAAUAUUUGUGUUAUCCGCUAAGCUUCGCAACUUGAAACAAAAUUUGAAAACUUGGAACCGGUCAUGUUUUGGUAAUAUUCAUGUGAAUGUGGAUUCUGCCAUGAGUGAUCUUGAUCUUAUUCAAAAUGAAAUUGAUACUUUGGGCCCUACAGAUGAUAGAUUGUCCAAGGAAGAGGAAUUGCGUUUAAACGCCCAUGAUG